rfam:Fictibacillus macauensis ZFHKF-1 Contig39, whole genome shotgun sequence.
UAACCUAUCUUAGCGAUAAGUAGCUGAACAGUCAGAAGUCAGCAGAAGUCGUAGUACUAAUGGGUCUAGAACCAUUAGGAAGAAC